rnacentral:rRNA from 1 species
UGCCAGCCGCCGCGGUAAUACGGAGGGGACUAACGUUGUUCGGAAUCACUGGGCGUAAAGCGCUCGUAGGCGGACUGAUCAGUCAGAGGUGAAAUCCCGGGGCUCAACUCCGGAACUGCCUUUGAUACUGUCAGUCUAGAGUUCGGAAGAGGUAAGUGGAAUUCCUAGUGUAGAGGUGAAAUUCGUAGAUAUUAGGAAGAACACCAGUGGCGAAGGCGGCUUUCUGGACCGAUACUGACGCUGAGACGCGAAAGCGUGGGGAGCAAACAGGAUUAGAUA